GCCCGGGUGGCGGAAUGGCAUACGCAGUGGACUUAAAAUCCACGGGCCUGCAAAGGCUGUGCGAGUUCGAGUCUCGCCCCGGGCA
rnacentral:tRNA from 1 species